GGAGAGGUGCCUGAGUGGUCGAAAGGAGCUCACUGCUAACGAGCCGUAGGCCAUAAUAGCCUACCGUGGGUUCGAAUCCCACCCUCUCCG
rnacentral:tRNA from 1 species